CCUGAUACCUUUCCGAACUCAGUAGUGAAACAAACACGCGCUGAUGAUAGUGUGGGGUCUCCCC
rnacentral:rRNA from 1 species